rnacentral:rRNA from 1 species
AUUGAACGCUGGCGGCAUGCUUUACACAUGCAAGUCGAACGGCAGCGCGGGCUUCGGCCUGGCGGCGAGUGGCGAACGGGUGAGUAAUGCAUCGGAACGUGCCCAGCAGUGGGGGAUAGCCCGGCGAAAGCCGGAUUAAUACCGCAUACGACCAGAGGGUGAAAGCGGGGGACCGAAAGGCCUCGCGCGAUUGGAGCGGUCGAUGUCGGAUUAGCUAGUUGGUGGGGUAAAGGCUUACCAAGGCGACGAUCCUUAGCUGGUCUGAGAGGACGACCAGCCACGCUGGAACUGAGACACGGCCCAGACUCCUACGGGAGGCAGCAGUGGGGAAUUUUGGACAAUGGGGGCAACCCUGAUCCAGCCAUGCCGCGUGCGGGAAGAAGGCCUUCGGGUUGUAAACCGCUUUUGUUCGGGAAGAAAUCCUCUGGGCUAAUACCCCGGGGGGAUGACGGUACCGGAAGAAUAAGCACCGGCUAACUACGUG